AGAACGAACGCUGGCGGCAGGCUUAACACAUGCAAGUCGAACGCGUGUAGCAAUACACGAGUGGCGCACGGGUGAGUAACGCGUGGAUAUCUGCCUUUUGGUUCGGAAUAACCCCGGGAAACUGGGGCUAAUACCGGAUGGUUCCUACGGGAUAAAGAUUUAUCGCCAAAAGACGAGUCCGCGUACGAUUAGCUAGUUGGUGAGGUAAUGGCUCACCAAGGCGACGAUCGUUAGCUGGUCUGAGAGGACGAUCAGCCACACUGGGACUGAGACACGGCCCAGACUCCUACGGGAGGCAGCAGUGGGGAAUAUUGGACAAUGGGGGCAACCCUGAUCCAGCCAUGCCGCGUGAGUGAUGAAGGCCUUCGGGUUGUAAAGCUCUUUUGGCGGGGACGAUGAUGACGGUACCCGCAGAAUAAGCCCCGGCUAACUUCGCGCCAGCAGCCGC
rnacentral:rRNA from 1 species